rnacentral:misc_RNA from 1 species
GGAGUCUCAAAUUUGCAAAACCAGCCCCUUGAAAUUUACCUUUCCCCUUACCUGCAGCUCCCAGCCUUCUUCAAUUGCCGCUUAAACUUCUCCUCCGUUUCUCUCUGCAACAUUCUUUUGUCUGCUGCUUAAAUUUGAGUUAUCGAUGGAGGAUUCUAAGCUGUGUUCUUCAAACGAGAUCAUAGAGACAGAUGAGAGCUGUACAAUAGUCCUUGAACUUCCUGAAAAUGACCCUUUUUUUGAUAAAAAGAAGAAUUUACUGCGUAAUAAGGGUUUUGAGGUCCGGGAACAUGUACAGCUCCAGAGCAUUACAUGUCCUGAUUCAAUUGCUACCACGUUGGAAAAAAUUCUUGGGAUAGCAAGAAUUACACACUUGGAUGAGGUAGAACUUUAUUUUUGUGAAGUUGAUGAAUGUUCAUCAGUGGAAUAUUGUAGCCCCAGAAAUGAGGUGGAAGCUCUUAAUUCAAUCCUAUCACUCGUUAACAGCUUGCUGUCUCGUAAAACACGCACGGAAAUGAAUGUCUUGCAAGCCUUUCAAGAUGCAAUUGUUAAUAGGUUGGAGAAAUUUGUGGACAAGAACAGAGAGGAGAGUAGAAUAGAUAAAAGCUACAGUUGUGACAAAGAAAAAAGGAUAGCAGAAUGGGGUGAAAUCAAUGGCAUAAAAUCAAGAUUGGAGAUUGUCUAUGUUGAAGGAGCUGGUAGAGGAGCCAUUGCAACAAAAGAUCUGAAAGUUGGGGAUAUUGCCUUGGAGAUUCCUGUGUCUAUUAUAAUUUCUGAGGAUAUUGUGCAUCAAUCUGACAUGUUUCAUAUAUUGGGGAAGAUUGAUGGGAUCUCAUCUGAGACUAUGUUGUUGCUAUGGAGCAUGAAAGAGAGGCAUCAUUGUAAUUCAAAAUUCAAGAUUUACUUUGAUACACUGCCAAAAGAAUUUAAUACAGGGCUGAGCUUUGGAGUUGCUGCAAUUGUGGCUUUGGAUGGAACUUUGUUAUUAGAGGAGAUAAUGCAAGCAAAAGAGGUUAUUAGACUUUGUUAUUUUGUUUUUAUGCAUAUUGAACCUGGCAUCUUGGGAGGUCAUUGGAAUUGUGGGAAAAGCAAUUUGAUUUUGUUACAUUACUUUUGCGUUUUAAGGUUUUUUAUUGUGAUUUGCUAUGUUGUGGUGCAUUAAAAGCCACAAACCAAUGCUGUGGAUUAGUGCAUUGUUCUUGUAGACACGAGAGCUACUGAUAAUUUCGUGGCAGGUAAGAUGGCAUCUCGGUUCAAGUUAAACAUACAUGAAGAUACAGGAAAGAUUAAGUUUGUUAACUCUAAAGCAUUGAACACCAUAAGCAUUGCUCGUGGAGCAUCUUGCCAGAUGAGGCGUUGAAAAGCAUUUGCGCAAUCAUUAUGAUGAGUUGGUUCCUGCACUAUGCCAUAAUUAUCCAGAUGUAUUUCCACUAGAGCUCUAUACAUGGGAGCAGUUCUUAUGGGCUUGUGAACUCUGGUACUCCAAUAGCAUGAAAGUCAUGUUUCUUGAUGGAAAGCUAAGGACUUGCUUGAUUCCUAUUGCAGGCUUUCUUAACCAUUCACUCCACCCACAUAUCAUUCACUAUGGCAAAGUAGAUUCUAUAACAAAAACAUUGAAAUUCCCACUGUCAAGGCCUUGCAGUAUUGGACAACAAUGCUGUCUUAGCUAUGGGAACUUCUCUAGUUCACAUCUACUUGCAUUCUAUGGCUUCAUACCACAAGGAGACAAUCCAUAUGAUGUAAUUCCAUUAGAUUUUGAUGCUGGUGAGCUGGACCCUAUGGAGGAUUGCCCGGUGUCUAGCCAAACUACUCACAUGGUCCGGGGUACAUGGCUCUCAAAGAACCAUAAUCUAUUCCAUUAUGGUUUGCCAUGUCCAUUGCUAAAUUUUCUACGGAGAGCUCGGAGUCCUACACUGCACACUAAGACCAUUGUAAUUUUCUCUGUAUCGUGUUCUAUGCUGUCCCUAUGCAAAUAUUUUCUCAGCAAUUGGUGUAAAUAUGGGUGGAUUGUUUGUUGUUAUGCCUGUGAGCUUUAUCAUUAUUUGUUUUUCCAGUUUUCCUGUAUUUCUUGAAUCAUCAAUUUCUUGACUUGAUUUUUCAAUCAAUUUAUACAAUUCAUACUCAUGGUCUAGUGCUUUUUUCUUUAAUAAUUUGUAGACGCAAUCAAACUUGGAAAUAGAAAUAGAAAUUCUGGAAGUCCUGCAGUCCACUUUCAAUAACAUGAUGGAAAAUCUUGGUGACACUGACCCUGUUGACAGGUAAGAUUUCUGUAUCAGAAAAAUGUCCUUUUGAGAAGCAAACAAGUUCCGUUUUAUGAAGAGAGGUAUUAUGUUAUCAUUACAGAGAAAAUGCUACUUGGGAUGUUAAGCUGGCAUUAGAAUUCAAAGAUCUGCAAAGACGAAUCGUCUCCUCGAUUUUAACUUCAUGUGAUUCUGGUCUCAAGUUGGUGCAAAAUGAAUUUUCCAGGUCUGUAGUCGAGGAGUGAGCACCGAGUACAACUUUUAGCUGUGGAUUAGAUGCGUUUGCAUGAAGCAUCAUAUCUGUCUGCAUACCAGAAAACUGAAAAAUAUGGUAUGUACAGCAGACUGAGAUAAAUUUUGUGUUAGGACUACGCUGCAAGGUUAAUUACCUAUCAGAAUCUCUACUGUUUGGAAAGUCUAAAAACGAAAGAAUUAAAUUCAAUUUGACCAUUUAUAAUCAAUUUAUCUCAAAAGUAAUAUGAUAUUGCAAGAAUUCAAUUUAUUUAAUGAACUAUCCUGUUAAAGUCUCCAAAAUGGCCCCAUUAAUAUUUGUUUCUUUGUAAAUAAGGAUAAAUGAUAUGGGACACAUCUUGCCCACCAUGCAUGUCUAGCCUAGCAAGCAAACUUAGCCAACAAGGAGUAUUAAUUUGUAUUUAGUUUUCCAAGGAGUAUUUAUUGGAAUAUUAAUUUUCCUACUUAUUAGCUAAGUAUACUCUUCAAGUAUUUGGUAAUUUAUGUAAUAGUUGUAGAAAAAGUAGAACUCUAUUAUAAAUGUAUAGCCUCGGAGGCAUCAUGAAUCAUACAUCAAUAUAAUUU